GUCAUCAGUCACAUGAAUUAUGACAAUAGUUUUUUGUGCCCUUUCAUUUCAAACAUCAACAGGUUACAACAGAAACUAGACCAAAAAUAAUUCACAAUACCUGGAGGGUGGAUUCAAAUAUAAUCCAAUUNCUAUAAUUCCACAUUUAAACACUAGUAAAUCAUAAUAAUCAGCUCCUUUGAGAAACUUGCCCAUCAUCUAAAGAAAGGGGAAAAAGAAAAGAUCAUUGAUCUACAAUUUGCU
rnacentral:misc_RNA from 1 species